AGCAGCCGCGGUAAUUCCAGCUCCAAUAGCGUAUAUUAAAGUUGUUGCAGUUAAAAAGCUCGUAGUUGAAUUUCGGGGUCAGUAGGUCGGUCGUGCCACUGGUAUGAACUGGUUUUACUGAUUCCUCCCUCUUGAAGAACUGUAAUGCCAUUAAUUUGUUGUUGCAGGGAAUCAGGACUGUUACUUUGAAAAAAUUGAGUGUUUAAAGCAGGCUUUAGCUUGAAUACAUUAGCAUGGAAUAAUGAAAUAGGACGUUUGAUCCUAUUUUGUUGGUUUCUAGGAUUUGACGUAAUGAUUAAUAGGGAUAGUUGGGGGCAUUAGUAUCCAAUUGUCAGAGGUGAAAUUCUUGGAUUUAUUGAAGACUAACUACUGCGAAAGCAUUUGCCAAGGAUGUUUUCAUUAAUCAAGAACGAAAGUUAGGGAUCGAAGACGAUCAGAUACCGUCGUAGUCUUAACCAUAAACUAUGCCGACUAGGGAUCGGAUGAUGUUAAUUUUUAAUGUACUUCAUUCGGCGCCUUA
rnacentral:rRNA from 1 species